UACGUAGGGUGCAAGCGUUAAUCGGAAUUACUGGGCGUAAAGCGUGCGCAGGCGGUUGUGUAAGACAGAUGUGAAAUCCCCGGGCUCAACCUGGGAACUGCAUUUGUGACUGCACAGCUGGAGUGCGGCAGAGGGGGAUGGAAUUCCGCGUGUAGCAGUGAAAUGCGUAGAUAUGCGGAGGAACACCGAUGGUGAAGGCAAUCCCCUGGGCCUGCACUGACGCUCAUGCACGAAAGCGUGGGGAGCAAACAGG
rnacentral:rRNA from 1 species